GAACUAUUUACACUUCAAAGAGAUCACCUGCCAGUCUUCUCAACUCCAGCCAAGCUCACCCAAUCCAUUUUCAUAGGUCAUCUGUACAUCACAGAUAAUUUUUGCUGCACUGACUAUUUUAACAAGUAGCUUUUAGGAGAACAUUGGAGACUCUCGAGCUCUCCUAAAGGGCCGGCAACACCAGACUAAAUAGUGAUGGACCUCUCACCUCAGCAAGGGAUUGAGGGAAACUGAACUGCUUGGAAAGGUGCGACACCACCUGUGUCAUAGGAUGGAUCGAGUGUACAACAGGCAAUUAAAGGAAAAAUCCGCAGGGCUCUAGGGAAACGAGCUGGGAAUGGAACUGCUGACGGGUCUUACUAAAAGCCAGAUGUGCCGAAUUGCUGAGUGUACAGUACUACAUCGCCUAGAACUGCAGCCGUGCCUUCCCCUUCUCGUGGGCCCCUUGUCUGGACCCGCUCUGUUCCCUCCCCUGGAUUCCACCCUCUUUAGCCAAAUGCUAAAAGUGGCGGUGGCCCUUCAACCCCUCCCGCUCGUUCUACCCUCAGUGAGACUAAGCCCAUGCACCCAACUACAUGAACUCACCCUUGCCAAAUUUCUGUAAAUAUCUCGGGUUAACAAAAUCUGUCAAUCUCAGACCGAAUAUUAACCAUUGACAUCUACCUUCCGACAGUGGGGACGCGUUCGAUAGGACUGGGUGUGGAAGCGUUUCCAAAAUCUGAGUGCCUCGCUGAAACGUUUUUUCCACCGCCCCCACCCCCCAACACCCCGCGGCCCAGGGUCAUCAGCUAUUCCAUCUAUUCCUAUCAGUCCGCCUAGAAAUCUCGGUACUUUGAACCAAAUCGCUUCACAAUAAUUGCGCGGAAUGCAUUCCCUUUGUUUCGGGUUAACUCCUGGAGCCUGACCGCUCGCCGAGAUCACCUACCGCUCCCAGUCUCAUGCCCGAAAGUGAAUUUUCUCAAUUCUC